UACGUAGGGGGCAAGCGUUGUCCGGAAUCAUUGGGCGUAAAGAGCGUGUAGGCGGCUCGGUAAGUCCGCUCUGAAAGCCCGGGGCUCAACCCCGGGAGGCGGGCGGAUACUGUCGGGCUAGAGUCCGGAAGAGGCGAGUGGAAUUCCUGGUGUAGCGGUGAAAUGCGCAGAUAUCAGGAGGAACACCAAUAGCGAAGGCAGCUCGCUGGGACGUUACUGACACUGAGGCGCGAAAGCGUGGGGAGCGAACAGG
rnacentral:rRNA from 1 species